GUGGGGAAUUUUGGACAAUGGGCGCAAGCCUGAUCCAGCCAUGCCGCGUGCAGGAUGAAGGCCUUCGGGUUGUAAACUGCUUUUGUACGGAACGAAAAGACUCUUUCUAAUAAAGAGGGUCCAUGACGGUACCGUAAGAAUAAGCACCGGCUAACUACGUGCCAGCAGCCGCGGUAAUACGUAGGGUGCGAGCGUUAAUCGGAAUUACUGGGCGUAAAGCGUGCGCAGGCGGUGAUGUAAGACAGAUGUGAAAUCCCCGGGCUCAACCUGGGAACUGCAUUUGUGACUGCAUCGCUGGAGUGCGGCAGAGGGGGAUGGAAUUCCGCGUGUAGCAGUGAAAUGCGUAGAUAUGCGGAGGAACACCGAUGGCGAAGGCAAUCCCCUGGGCCUGCACUGACGCUCAUGCACGAAAGCGUGGGGAGCAAACAGGAUUAGAAACCCGAGUAGUCC
rnacentral:rRNA from 1 species